AUUGAACGCUGGCGGCAGGCCUAACACAUGCAAGUCGAGCGGAUGAAGGGAGCUUGCUCCUGGAUUCAGCGGCGGACGGGUGAGUAAUGCCUAGGAAUCUGCCUGGUAGUGGGGGAUAACGUCCGGAAACGGGCGCUAAUACCGCAUACGUCCUGAGGGAGAAAGGGGGGGAUCUUCGGACCUCACGCUAUUAGAUGAGCCUAGGUCGGAUUAGCUAGUUGGUGGGGUAAAGGCCUACCAAGGCGACGAUCCGUAACUGGUCUGAGAGGAUGAUCAGUCACACUGGAACUGAGACACGGUCCAGACUCCUACGGGAGGCAGCAGUGGGGAAUAUUGGACAAUGGGCGAAAGCCUGAUCCAGCCAUGCCGCGUGUGUGAAGAAGGUCUUCGGAUUGUAAAGCACUUUAAGUUGGGAGGAAGGGCAGUAAGUUAAUACCUUGCUGUUUUGACGUUACCAACAGAAUAAGCACCGGCUAACUUCGUG
rnacentral:rRNA from 1 species